AUUUAUUUAACACAGCUCUACUCUUGUAGAACUUCUCAAAUAAUUUGGGUAUUCCAUAAGAUUAUUGAGUAAACUAUCUUAAAGUAUUAACUUGAGGGGAAAAAAUGAGAGAGUAGUAAAAUUUGUCUUUCUGAAAAUGGCCAUAAAUCUCUUAAAAACAAGAAUUUUAAGCCCUAGGUUAUAUGACUCUAUAUGCUGUAUCGUAUAGAAAUGUACAGUGCUGCUGAUAUUUAUAUUUUUUUAUACUAGGAAGAGAACCACAAAGAAAAAUCUAAGAAAUAUUUAUCAUUUAAAAGUAGUUCUGAUCAGGAUUACUACUACUACCGCUAUCCUGAGCAUGAUAGCCAGAACUCCAAUUUUUCUUGGUGACAUUUUUUGGCCAUCUUGAUUUAUUUUCUAUAAUUUCUUAGUAUUUUUACACAUCCUGCUCACAAAUAAAUGAAUGUGGGUUUUAGUAUUUCUCUGCCUGCCUCUGGUGUGGAACUUGGUGUUUGGGUGCUGAAGGAGUGCUGAGCGGAGGCUCAGUUUUAUGCUGCACUUAGGCACCCAGUUGUGCGUCUGCAGAUUCCCAGCGGCUUUGUGGGGGCAUGUGAUCUCCAUUACUACAUGCAUCACUAGGAACUGAUUUUUAGAGUACAUUUUUUGGACACCUGAUCAUUCUUCUAGUUGUUUAUCCGUAAGAAGGCAUUGGCCUGUCUCCUGGAGACAGUGGUGAUGCUUUUGUCUCUCUCUUUUGUGAUGCCGCGAUCCCAUUUUUUCCAAACAGUCUGCUGUUUACAUGUUUUUAAUAGGUAUGUGACUACACUUUUUUGGAUAUAUGUACUGAUCAUGAUAACCAGGUUAUUUCUCUGUCUUUUAAUCUGCCCUCUGUACAGUGGAAAAGUUCAAAAAUUACUUCAGGAAAAAAAAGACAGCACCCAGUGUAGUGAUAUAUCAAAUACACAGGUUUGCAAAUCAGAUUGUAGCCAGUAACUUAGAGGGUUUUAUAUAGCUGACUAAAGUGUUUUCUGUGUGAUAUAGUAAAUAAUCCUUCAUUAGCCUACAUGAAGUUUUGAAAAUCUUAAUUCUGCAACUUUUUUCAUAAACGGGAUUAUUCAUUCUCAGGCCUACAUAACACUUUAAGUUAAAGCCAGUAUCGAUGAGCCUUCUUGAAUACAAUGCGUCUGCAGUAAGCGUGUGCUGUUGCAUCAGGUUGAAGCAGGCUUAGCAGAGCAGCAUUUGCCAAACUGCCUCUUGUAGUGUCCUGCUCCAGUUGUGUCCACUUGGUAAAUCAUGUUUGCCUGAUGAAUGUGGAAACUGGGGUUUAUUCUGUGUAACCAAGAUCAUACGUUCUAGGGUCCAUAUUUUUGUUGACUUAAUUAAUUGGAGAAACCAAAUCAGCAGUUCCACUGCCUCAGAGGUGGAGCAGUAUUUUCACAAUUCAGUGUCUCUGUUAUAAAGACAGAUUGGGCUGCAGUAGAAGAAAUUAAAAGAAAGGAAAAUAAAAGUAGUUAUUUUAAUCUAAAAAAAAAAAAGGGGAAAAUCAAUAAUACUAAGGGUUUGGCCUGAGAAUCAGGCAGAUAAUUCCAUUUUCCUACCUUCUACUCAUUUUAGGGUUUAUGAUAUGUUAAUAUGAUUUGGAUUUAAGAAGAAGCUCUCUCCCUUUCAGUCUUUAGGAAUACUGUUGCUGGGACUCAGUUGGGACUGAGUUGGGACCACUCAAGGUUUGAGUGGUCAAACAUUGAGAUGCACCAAAAUCUUAACGUGCCCGCAAAUCUCUUCAAGUGCUACCAGGAUGCCAAACAAAAGGUCAAAUAAACACCAGCACACUUAGGCUCUGAACCUCGACAUUAAAAAAUAUUGUUAAAAAUCAGUAAGCAGUUGUAAACCAACUUUUCCUGGAUCCAUCUUGGUAGACUCUCUAAGAAAAGAUAAACCUAUGCCUUUUUUUGUUUUGAAACACAGCAAUAGCAGUGUAGUUUAUUGUACCAUGUGGAAUACAAGCACGCUAGAUUGCAGAUCCUUCGCAUGCAGUUCAGAAUGACUCGACCAGUGACACAACUGGAAACUUUUACAUAGACCUUUCUGGUCUUCAGCACAGGCUUUUUUGUGGAGACUUAAUUUGAUUAUUUAGAAAUCGUGCAUGACUGGUUUUGUGGAAGUCUUAUUUAUAAAUACCCUGAAGUGGAGCACAAAAUCAUUGGUACCAUUUUUUAUGCUUUCCUAAUAAUAUUUUUUUGUCAGAAACAAAACAUCAUGUCAUUCAGUUGCAAGUGCUGAUGUGAUCCUUUACCCUGCUCCGUGUAAAGGUGUAUGGUUUUGUACACGUGCAUACACUUUCAAAAAUGUUGGGAGAAGAAGAAGUUAGUACUUCUGAUCUAUUUCUCAGGAUAUAUUUGCAGGAACAAUAUACUGAGGAGGGCCUUAUCAUAAAGAGAGGUGCAAAUUUUGGCACUUUGCUCUCUUGCAGUCUAAAGAAAAGAGCAUUUAAAUGUUUGGGUUGAUAAUGAAGCAUCAUUAGUGGAGAUAAUUACAAUAUGGGGAGCAGGAACAAAUUUAUUAAUCAGAUAAGCUGCUAUCUCAGAAAUAAAGUUACUUAGCUCAUCAUCAACUUGAAAAAGAACAUAGUUUCCACUGUUUUAUCGUGUGUGUCCUCUGAAAAACAGAACUGGAGUUUAGCUGAUUAUGACUAACAUUGUGCUUCAGGCAGUAUUUGGCUGCGGUUUUGCAAAUAUAAGACACUUUCUAAGAAACUGUUGUUAUUGAAAUAUUUAAGGAACUGCUUUAUUUACCUUGAUUCUUUUGAAAAGGUUGACGGUAACAGCAGUAGGAUUAUAGAACUAGACUUAGAUUUAUUUCUUUCCCCCUCCAAGUACACACUGCCUCAUUAAGAGAAGAUUUCUGUUAUCAGUCUUGACAAUAAUCUCCUUAUUAACCACUUGAAAUGUCUGAGACAUGUUUCAUAAAUUAGGACUGAUUAUUUAGAGUAAAUAAAUAAUUUCGUGUUAACCUGUUUUUGUCAUAGAGAUCUACGUAAAAGCUUUUUAAUGUAGUUAUGAGUACCAGUUACUGCUCCAAUUAAAUUCACUGUCUGAACCUCUGUUUUUUUCAAGAGAGUAUUUUUAGCAUUUAAUAUGAAAUUAUACUUUGAAAAAUCAGCAAAUUUUCUUUUCUGGACCACUGUAGUGGUUUAGAACAUAUAUAUAGAAAUCCUGGAUCUUGACAAUUCUCUGAAAUUUCUUUAGAGUUAGUAAUGUCUUUGAAGUUAGUCACUUUUUUUAAAAUUAAUGGGAAUAUCCCUUAGACUAAGCCUCUAGAGCUAGCGGUUACUAAUUGCUAAAACUGUGAACAGGUUUACUAAAAUAGCUACAAUGUGAUACCAUUCUGGAAUAUAGAAGAAGAAGUGCAUAAGUAUCUCUGUGAGAUAUGUUACUGCGGUUUUAUUGCUUACAUUUUAAAAUUCUUUUUUUGGCAGAUAUCAGAAAAAAUAAGCUAUUUGUUUUGGGACUUUCUGCUGUAACCUGAAGAGUUCUGGUGCUCAUUCUUUGUAACUGAACAAGUAAUAGAAAGAAAAUGCUUACCUUGGGUUUUAGGCAUAUAUUGAAAUUGCAAGAAAAACACUGCAAUUCUACCCGUCUCCAUAAUAAUACACUAUACAAAGUAAAAUGUUUUAAAAUUGUAUAUCAAAAUAAGAAACCCCAUUUAUGCCCUUAAUCUCCCACUAAGCUGCAACUGGCAGGUGCUGAAAAAGGUGUCGGUGUGCGUAGAAGUUAAGCUUUACACCUCUGUGCAAAGUGAUACAUACCUUUGUUUAAUAAGUACUUGCUUGUCCUUUGGACAGUAGAUAAACUGCAGCUUUGCUACUUAAUUCUUAGGUCAGCUCUAGUUUAAUAAGUUAUUUUUAUCUCUUACUUGUUUGUGAUUAGUUGAGAAGCUGCCUUUGCUGAUGUUAUUGUUAUGAAAUCACUUGCCAAGUUAUUUUUAGAUAGU